rnacentral:lncRNA from 1 species
GCGGGGCGGCCCCCCCCCCUCCGGAGCGGGGUGACCGGCGGGGAAGCGGAGAGUGGUGCCCGCCCCCCAACGCCCCGGCCCCGAAAGAAAGGGCAAAUAGCGCCCCACGAGGAAGCGGGAGAAGGCAAAGCUGUCUGUGGCAGCUCACUUGGCAUUGCAGGUAACAUAAGCACACCUGCAUUUCCUCUUAGCAGACUUUCCUCUGUUAAGGCCUACAGCUGUUUAGGUAUCCUUUGGAUGUUUGUAGAGAUGCUUUUAUGGGAGCUGGAGAAAGGAGAAAAGUUUGAUAAGAAUGAACAAACAGGAAAAUGUGAAUAUGCUCAUACUACCUACAGAACUUCCUCUGAGACCCAUUAUGUAAUCUGUGUGGGAUGA